CGAGCGAAUGGAUUAAGAGCUUGCUCUUAUGAAGUUAGCGGCGGACGGCGUGAGUAACACGUGGGUAACCUGCCCAUAAGACUGGGAUAACUCCGGGAAACCGGGGCUAAUACCGGAUAACAUUUUGAACCGCAUGGUUCGAAAUUGAAAGGCGGCUUCGGCUGUCACUUAUGGAUGGACCCGCGUCGCAUUAGCUAGUUGGUGAGGUAACGGCUCACCAAGGCAACGAUGCGUACCCGACCUGAGAGGGUGAUCGGCCACACUGGGACUGAGACACGGCCCAGACUCCUACGGGAGGCAGCAGUAGGGAAUCUUCCGCAAUGGACGAAAGUCUGACGGAGCAACGCCGCGUGAGUGAUGAAGGCUUUCGGGGUCGUAAAACUCUGUUGUUAGGGAAGAACAAGUGCUAGUUGAAUAAGCUGGCACCUUGACGGUACCUAACCACAAAGCCACGGCUAGCUACGUGCCAGCGGGCCGCGGUAAUACGUAGGUGGCAAGCGUUAUCCGGAAUUAUUGGGGCG
rnacentral:rRNA from 1 species